UACGGGGGGGGGCAAGCGUUGUUCGGAAUUACUGGGCGUAAAGGGCUCGUAGGCGGCCAACUAAGUCAGACGUGAAAUCCCUCAGCUUAACUGAGGAACUGCGUCUGAUACUGGAUGGCUUGGAUUUGGGAGAGGGAUGCGGAAUUCCAGGUGUAGCGGUGAAAUGCGUAGAUAUCUGGAGGAACACCGGUGGCGAAGGCGGCAUCCUGGACCAAUAUUGACGCUGAGGAGCGAAAGCUAGGGGAGCAAACGGG
rnacentral:rRNA from 1 species